CAUGGCUGAUGCUCUAUUCCCCGCUGUGGUGCUGCUUGGACAGAAGACCUAGCAGAGCUUUUGAUGGUGCACAUACAUAUCAAUCCUAGCACUCCUUGACUAAGCCAGAUUUUAGUUCUCUUUCCAAGGCAUUUCCAUCCCAACCCCAGCUCCUUCAACCUGCACUUGACUGAAUCAGCCUUGGAUAUAUGCUAGCUCGGAAUUUAUUUGAAAGCAGAAGUGAGACAUAGCAUGAGGAAAAUGUUAUAAGAUCCCAAGUUUCUUCACCACAAAAUGGACUGUGCUUUAAUGGUGCCUGACAGGCUUCAGCUGAGGUGAUGCAGGCAAAGCCACCUUCCUGUUUCAGCUGACUCUGUUGAAAGUUCCUUGGAGAGUACAAAUUCCACCAGAAGACUAAACUAUAGAGCCUUCUUCUUCAGGAUUUCUCCUGUGUCCUGUGUGUACUGAAGACCACCUGAGGAAUCCAGCCUCACAGACUUAACAAUUGGAUUCUUGGACUUUUCAUCGGGAGACAGUCAUUGGUGGACUACCUAGAUCACAGUCUAUCUUGCUCAUCCAUCAUCGGGGAGGCUUCCUCUUUCAGUCGAUGGGAACACAGACCCAGAGAAGGGAGACGGCUCUAAGAAAACAACGUCUUCCAAACACAACAGAACUGAUGCACAGGCGAACUCAGUGGCUGUGGCAGCACACACAGGGUUUGCACAGGUUCGAACGGGAUAAGUUCCCAGCACUGAGAAGGAAGUGGACAUGGCUUAACCAAGAAGCUAUGUACAAUUGACAUCUUCUUGCAAUGGGAAAAUCAGUUUUCUCCAGUGGAGUCUCAUUGGGUAUACUAACCACACUUCAGGGUGGGCCCUGUGCACAGUUGUUCACCAAACGAAAAGUGAACGCAAUGGUAUUUUUGUAGGGUUUUCUUUUCUUCAUAUUGCUUUGUUUGGGCUUUUUUUUUGUCAUAUUAGUCUUUUGCUUGCUUUUUGGCUGUGUGAGUGUGUGUGUGUGUGUGUGUGUGUGUGUGUGUGUGUGUGUGUGCAUUCCUUGUUCUUUAAGAAAAGGAGAAUAGAUAUGGCUUUGAGUGAGUGGGGGAGUAGGAAACAUAUGAGAGGAGCUAGAGGAGGGAAAAGUGUCACCAGAAUAUAUUGCAUGAAAACUUGUUCCAGUAAAAAACAAAUAAUAAUCACCAAAUAAAGUUAUGCAUUGUGACCCAUUCUUGGAGUGUUGGA